rnacentral:lncRNA from 1 species
CUUUAUUUAAAUUUUGUUUUCCAUUAACUCUAUUUGGAUCUUGUUUCUUUUUAGUAACCACAGUUUGAAUUCGGGAUCAGCUAGAGCCAUGCACGUUCUAAAGCAUCCGAGACGUAAUAAUGGAGUGAUCGAUCCCAAGGGAGAUAUGCAGUUUACGGAACAUCAGGACUUUCACACUAUCAAUCAGCCCGCUUCGCUCAAAGACUCUUUCUCAAUGCUACAUAUAUGGUUCAUAUACUGAAAGGACAUUGGGGCGAGACUGAUACCUGAAAUAAUCAGAACUACCAAGGACAAGAGAUACACAUCGAAUCUAUCGAAGAUUUGAACUCAACUAAGGCAUCAUGGUUAGGAAUAGGCCUUUAUCCAGGCAGGACAUUUAAACAAGACUGAGUCCUGUAAUCUGCAAAACUGCCCAGGAUUAAAGACAGGCAUCGAAGCUAUUGGAAAUCUGAACUCAAUUAAGGCAUCGUAAUUAGGAAUUGACAUUUAUCCAGGCAGGACAUUCGGACAAGACUGAGUCCUGUAAUCUACAAAACUGCCCAGGAUUAAAGAUGAGCAUCGAAUCUAUUAGAUAUGUGAACAGAACUACGGCAUCAUAAUCAAUAAUUGGCAUUAGAACCAGUCAUCAAUAUUGAAGCUAACAAGUGGAAUCAUGAUUAGUGCAGAACAUCAAGUCCACUAGGGCACAAAGGACCAGACCAGUGAAAUCCAUUCCACUAUUUAUGGACCCAGUCAAGGUAGCAGGACCAGUGAUGGACAUCGAAGUCAACAACAGGUGGAAUCUCAAUCAGUGGAGAACAUGAGGACCACCAGGACAUGGAGGAACUACACCAGCGGACCCAAGGAUCCGAAGACUUCGGGGCCCCAAAGCUCUGGGGUUGGAAGGAAUCGGAUUCCAGGAUCUCCAGGUACGAGAACUUCGAACUUCGAAAUCUUUGAAAUUCGACGUUUUCGCACUGGGAAUCCUCAAAUUCGAAAUCUUUCAACCCCGAAGCGUUAGGGCACGGGGAGGGCACCCGGGGAUCGCCCCGGGUGCAGGACGCGGGGAGGGGCGCUACGGCCUCUAAAGGGGUCUGGGGACGGGAGGUGGCACCCGGUGAUCACCCCGGGUGCAGGACGCGAGGUGGCACCCGGGGAUCGCCUCGGGUGCAGGACGCGGGGUGGCACCCGGGGAUCGCCCCGGGUGCAGGACGCGGGGUGGCACCCGGGGAUCGCCUCGGGUGCAG